AAUGGACUUUAAACUGGCACGGGCGUAGAAACUUAUCUACGCCCGUGCAAUUAUUUUUAAACAAGCAAGAGUAAA